AUUUUACAUAUUAGAGAGUUCCCACCCAUCACACACGCGCAACAGUUUCUUCUUUUCUUCUUCUUCUCUCUCUCUCUCUCAGAACGACAAACGCCUCAUCGGCACAACCUUUGUGUCUCCUCCUCUUCCCCGAAUUCAGAUCUUCUUCCCCAAUAGACACCUACCCUCUUCGCUAUAGACGGUGCUCUUCAUUUCCCUUACAACCUUUCGAAACUCAUUGGCUUGGGAAAGACCUGCAAUUUUGGUGGCAAGCGAUCGAUUAUGCUCGGUUGAAUCACAGUACGAUUACAUUCUUCAAUUUCUCCAAACCAGAGACCGCAGCUUCUCGCUGGAGUCGAGUCAGGUUGAAUGCUUCCAAGGUUGGUAAGGGUUUGUCCAAGGACACCAAAGCACAGAAAUUGGCUUUCCAACACUAGAUUGAAGCUAUAAGUUUUCCUUACUCAUCUCUAUAGAUGGACCAAAGGGGAGAAACCUUCAAAGAUUGGAACAAAAAAUUCCCCCUCAUUUUGUUUGUGAUUACAAUGAAUCUCAAUUACAAUCAUGUAGAAUAAAUCAACAAUUUUUGAACUUUUCUUUUAUUUAUUUAUUUAUUUAUUUAUAAUUUAGAUGCUAGUGCUUUCAUCAUGUAUCCACUUCUAUCUAUAACUUGUUUGAUUGAGUAUGUGCUUGUAUAUUAAUUACAUAUCAGAUUGAUAAUAAAUGUUGCCUCAGACUCUCUAUUCUAUUAAACUAAAAAAAUUCAAUGAAUCAGGGUUUAAGUUAUGUUUAGUUUAUAGAAAUGUUAAAUUUCUAUUUGACUUAAUAAUUUCCAUAAAUAUCUAUGGCCCAGUAUAAUGUUUUGUGGAAUCAAUGAUGUUUUUUUUUUUUUUGGAAUUCGUAAAUUACUUUAGAUUUUUGUGAGAAGGUUUCAAUUAUUUUCUUCAAUAACACUUUUAAUUUCUCUCAGUUUGUCAAAAGAAUUGCCCAACCCUAUGACUGAGGCUUCACAUUGUUCAUGUAUUCCAUUAUCCGUUUAAGUUAGCAUAGUUAUGUCAACUUUAAGAUUGUGAUUUCACAUUGUGUUGGGCCAUUUUUGUUAACAUAGAAUUUCCACUUUUUGUCUCUCGGUUGGUAGCUUGCUAAUUGUUUGCUAACUUCGAGACUUCAAUAGGAACAAGGGUAGAACCAAGAAUUCCUAGAACAGCCAAAUGUAAAACUAAUUACAUAAUUCACCAUCCUUGAUAAUUGUGUAUUUAUUCUGAAUGCACAUCCGGCCUCAAUCCAUUAAAAGAAAGUGCAUUAUCUAAUUUUAGAUUUCAAUCAAUCAUGUUAAUGACACUAAUUUCUUUAUUUAACAUAUGGGUUCUGAAUUUUGAUGCCUAUUUUUGGAGAUUUAUGAAUAUGACUAUUGAAUUGAAGUGGAUUUGUGAUUUGCUUCUCCAGCAUUUGAUGAAAGAUGACUUCAUUCUCCAUUUUACCUUUAUUAGCAUGCUUCAUUAGUUCACAAGUAGUAAUGACAUUAACAGGUUGUGGCCCUAUUGAAAAUGACAAUCAGGACUGUGUUAAAUGACUAAUAUUUCAUGUUUUGUUCCUGUUUGUUUUGUUUUUACUUUUGGUUGGUAUAAGCACUGAUCUUGGAACUGCCUUUGGAAAUCUGGAAACUAGUGUGCAAUCAUGGAUGUUUCGUUGUAAAAGUAACAUUUUGUCACUACAACUUGAUCAUUCAGUAAUUAUCACAUUUAAGAUUCCAUACAAAUGUUUCUAAAUUUUCUAUUUUUACGUCUGCUUCCUUAUUUUUUUGGAUUACUAAGUGGAUCACUCUUUCUUUUUUUUGGUUCUAUCUUGUUAAGAAUUCUGAGGUUACACAAACUUCAUAUUAAAGUAUUUGCAACACAUUAACCUAAAGAAAACUUGACAUAAAACUUACUUGAUUAAAAUCUUAAUUCCAUUAGGUUCCAUGUGGCACCAAUAUGUAAUUCAGAAUUUGCACAUCAACAGUUAACAAGCUUUGCACAAUCAAGUCUACAACUUUUUCCUUGGUAGAUAUUGACCUCAUCUCAAGAUUUAUAAAUGGCAUUACUGUACUUUUAUAUAUUAUCAUUACAUUUCUUAUUUGAUAUUUUUUUAUAUAUUAUCAUUACAUGACCUUUGUCUGUGGUUAAGUGACUAUCACUAUAUGAUUUCAAUGUAGCAAACUCGUCUCUUGUUGCAGGGACAGAUUGUUUUAUCUGGUUUAAGAAAUGGAGCAAUUUGUUUUCUGCAUGUUCAUGUCUUGAAAUAAUUAUCAAUUUUUAAAUGGAGAUGACAACACUCUUUUAGCUAUUAAUUUGUUUUCUGCAUGUUCAUGUCUGACGAUGAGUUAACUGCUAAAAUCUUUUAACACAUGAGUUUUCCUAUAUUUAAGGGCACAAAUAAAAUGUUUGCAUAACCCUGUUCCUUCUCCUUCUCCUGAGCAUUGUUGCCCUGUAGUCAUAGUUCAUAUUCAGCUAUCUUAAGAUAUUUGGUCCAUUUUUUUCAUGAGAAUUGAUUAUUCAAUCAAAGUGGUUAUUAUUUUUCUAUUGAAGCAGGAGAUGAAGAGUCAGUAUGAUGAGAAAAAGUCCGACUGAAUCUUUUGUAAGACUAGAAUAGUCUCUAUAAACAGAUAGUUUAUUCAUAUGCUUCUGCGGUUUCUAAAUUAAUUUGUGUUUUCA